CCAAUAGCGUAUAUUAAAGUUGUUGCAGUUAAAAAGCUCGUAGUUGAAUUUCGGGGUUAGUAGGUUGGUCAUGCCUCUGGUAUGUACUGGUCUCACUGAUUCCUCCUUCCUGAUGAACCUUAAUGCCAUUUAUUUGGUGUUUUGGGGAAUUUGGACUGUUACUUUGAAAAAAUUAGAGUGUUUAAAGCAGGCAUUUUGCUUGAAUACAUUAGCAUGGAAUAAUAAAAUAGGACGGCAUGAUUCUAUUUUGUUGGUUUCUAGGAUCACCGUAAUGAUUAAUAGGGAUAGUUGGGGGCAUUAGUAUUCAAUUGUCAGAGGUGAAAUUCUUGGAUUUAUUGAAGACUAACUACUGCGAAAGCAUUUGCCAAGGAUGUUUUCAUUAAUCAAGAACGAAAGUUAGGGGAUCGAAGACGAUCAGAUACCGUCGUAGUCUUAACCAUAAACUAUGCCGACUAGGAAUCAGACGAUGUUAAUUUUUUAAUGACUCGUUUGGCACCUUACGGGAAACCAAAGUGUUUGGNUUC
rnacentral:rRNA from 1 species